rnacentral:pre_miRNA from 1 species
AUAGUACUCCCUCCGUCUUAAAAUUCUUGUCUUAAAUUUGUUUAGAUACGGAUGUAUCUAAUACUAAAACGUGACUUGAUACAUCGGUAUUUAGAUAAAUCUAAGACAAUAAUUUUGGGACGGAGGGAGUAUAAA